UCCUCCAAGGCUAAAUACUCCUGACUGACCGAUAGUGAACCAGUACCGUGAGGGAAAGGCGAAAAGAACCCCGGCGAGGGGAGUGAAAAAGAACCUGAAACCGUGUACGUACAAGCAGUGGGAGCACAGGUUUACCUGUGUGACUGCGUACCUUUUGUAUAAUGGGUCAGCGACUUAUAUUCUGUAGCAAGGUUAACCGUAUAGGGGAGCCGUAGGGAAACCGAGUCUUAACCGGGCGUUAAGUUGCAGGGUAUAGACCCGAAACCCGGUGAUCUAGCCAUGGGCAGGUUGAAGGUUGGGUAACACUAACUGGAGGACCGAACCGACUAAUGUUGAAAAAUUAGCGGAUGACCUGUGGCUGGGGGUGAAAGGCCAAUCAAACCGGGAGAUAGCUGGUUCUCCCCGAAAGCUAUUUAGGUAGCGCCUCGUGAAUUCAUCUCCGGGGGUAGAGCACUGUUUCGGCUAGGGGGCCAUCCCGGCUUACCAACCCGAUGCAAACUGCGAAUACCGGAGAAUGUUAUCACGGGAGACACACGGCGGGUGCUAACGUCCGUCGUGAAGAGGGAAACAACCCAGACCGCCAGCUAAGGUCCCAAAGUCAUGGUUAAGUGGGAAACGAUGUGGGAAGGCCCAGACAGCCAGGAUGUUGGCUUAGAAGCAGCCAUCAUUUAAAGAAAGCGUAAUAGCUCACUGGUCGAGUCGGCCUGCGCGGAAGAUGUAACGGGGCUAAACCAU
rnacentral:rRNA from 1 species